rnacentral:rRNA from 1 species
AUUGAACGCUGGCGGCAUGCUUUACACAUGCAAGUCGAACGGCAGCACGGGCUUCGGCCUGGUGGCGAGUGGCGAACGGGUGAGUAAUGCAUCGGAACGUACCGUGUAGUGGGGGAUAACGUAGCGAAAGUUACGCUAAUACCGCAUACGCCCCGAGGGGGAAAGUGGGGGACCGCAAGGCCUCACGCUAUAUGAGCGGCCGAUGUCGGAUUAGCUAGUUGGUAGGGUAAAGGCCUACCAAGGCGACGAUCCGUAGCGGGUCCGAGAGGAUGAUCCGCCACACUGGGACUGAGACACGGCCCAGACUCCUACGGGAGGCAGCAGUGGGGAAUUUUGGACAAUGGGCGCAAGCCUGAUCCAGCCAUGCCGCGUGAGUGAAGAAGGCCUUCGGGUUGUAAAGCUCUUUCAGACGGAAAGAAAUCUCCCAGGAUAAUACCUUGGGAGGAUGACGGUACCGUAAGAAGGAGCACCGGCUAACUACGUGCCAGCAGCCGCCGUAACAC